CCUACGGGUGGCAGCAGUAGGGAAUAUUGCUCAAUGGGGGAAACACUGAAGCAGCAAAGCCGCGUGGAGGAUGAAGGUUUUAGGAUUGUAAACUCCUUUUGUUAGAGGAGAUUAUGACGGUAUCUAACGAAUAAGCAGCGGCUAAAUCAGUGCCAGGACCCGCGGUAAUACGGGGGGUGCAAGGGUUACUCGGAAUCAAUGGGCGUAAAGGGGGCGUAGGGGGGGUAAUAAGGACGGUGGUAAAUCCUGUAGCUUAACCACAGAACUGCAUUUGAAACUGUUACUCUGGAGUGUGGGAGAGGUAUGUGGAAUUCUUGGUGUAGGGGUAAAAUCCGUAGAGAUCAAGAGGAAUACUCAUUGCGAAGGCGACCUGCUGGAACAUUACUGACGCUGAUGCACGAAAGCGUGGGGAGCAAACAGGAUUAGAUACCCUUGUAGUC
rnacentral:rRNA from 1 species